rnacentral:tRNA from 1 species
GCCUUCGUGGUGUAGCGGUCAGCACUCUCGACGCAUAGCCGAGAGGUCUGUGGUUCGAAUCCCCGCAAUGGCA